rnacentral:rRNA from 1 species
ACACUCCUGCGGGAGGCAGCAGUGAGGAAUAUUGGACAAUGGGUGGAAGCCUGAUCCAGCCAUCCCGCGUGCAGGAAGACGGCCCUAUGGGUUGUAAACUGCUUUUAUCUGGGGAUAAACCUACUUACGUGUAAGUAGCUGAAGGUACCAGAAGAAUAAGCACCGGCUAACUCCGUGCCAGCAGCCGCGGUAAUACGGAGGGUGCAAGCGUUAUCCGGAUUUAUUGGGUUUAAAGGGUCCGUAGGCGGACUGAUAAGUCAGUGGUGAAAUCCGACAGCUUAACUGUCGAACUGCCAUUGAUACUGUUAGUCUUGAGUAAGGUUGAAGUGGCUGGAAUAAGUAGUGUAGCGGUGAAAUGCAUAGAUAUUACUUAGAACACCAAUUGCGAAGGCAGGUCACUAAGUCUUAACUGACGCUGAUGGACGAAAGCGUGGGGAGCGAACAGGAUUAGAAACCCGUGUAGUCCCAUG